rnacentral:tRNA from 1 species
AAUCAAUAUUAUAUAAUAUUGAUUGAUAUAAUAUAAAAAAAAUCAAAUAAUCUUUUUAAAUUCAAAUUUUUUAAAUAAAAAAAAAGAAGUCUUAUUUAUUUGAUUUUUUUUAUUUGAUUUAUAAAAUAAAAGAUUCAAAAAAAUUUAAAUUAAUAAUAAAUAUUAAUUAAUAAUAAAUAUAAAAUAUAAAAAAUAAAUAUUAAAAAAUAAAUAUUAUAUAUAAAUUUAUUAUAAUUAUAUAUAAAUUUAUUAUAUAUAAAUUAAUAAAAAAUAUUCUAAAUAAAUAAAUAAUAAAUAUAAAAUAGAAAUUAAAUUACUAAAUAAUAUAAAUUCUAAAAAAAAAAUUCUAAAUAAAUUAAUAUAAUUCAUUUACUAUAAUGGAUAUAUUAAUUUUAAAUGAAUUAUAUUAAUUAUAAUGGAUAAUGACAAUUAGAAUGAAUCUUUCAUGAAUAUAAGAAUCAAAAAAUUCUAUGGAAUCGUGAAAGACAGAAAGAUUCUUCGAAUUUAGUCAUAACAUUUCGUUAUAUUGACAAUUUCAAAAACUGUUCAUACUAUGAGCAUAGUAUGCUGGCGGGCGGGCAAACGCGCCCCCAUCGUCUAGUGGUUCAGGACAUCUCUCUUUCAAGGAGGCAGCGGGGAUUCGACUUCCCCUGGGGGUAGGGUAUUACGAAAGGAAGUUGAUCAUGGAUUAUUAAUAAGUCUGGAAUUGAUUCUUCCCGGGUCGAUGCCCGAGCGGUUAAUGGGGACGGACUGUAAAUUCGUUGGCAAUAUGUCUACGCUGGUUCAAAUCCAGCUCGGCCCAAUAAUUCACUGAUCCGCCAUGAAAUGAUAUAACCCCUUUGUUCUCUCGAAAUGCCUGAUACGGAAAAAAAGUAAAAAUCUCUGAUAUAUCUCUACCUGUUCUUUAUUUGAUUUGCUUUAUUUUUUUUUUUUUCUCACAAAUUAUGAUCUUGCUAAUGAUCUAGAUUCAGAUCAGGAUUUGUAAGUAUAAAGUCUAAGAAAAAGAAUAAUGGAAAGAAAAAAAGAGUCUUUUUUCAUUGAAAGAUUUUUUUUAUUAUCAAUCCGACUUUGAUUUGAAAUAACGAAAAGAUGACUAGUAAUCCCUGUCCCUUUUAUAACUAAAGUGAAUAUCCAUGUGGAUAUCAAUAUAUCACUCCCGUUUCUGUUACAACGCGGCAAUUCCAAUUUCAAAUCUAAAUAGUAAAGGGUUUGAAUGAAAUCAUAAGAAAAUGUAUGCUGUACACUUUAUUGCAUUUCCCCGGGAUUGUAGUUCAAUUGGUCAGAGCACCGCCCUGUCAAGGCGGAAGCUGCGGGUUCGAGCCCCGUCAGUCCCGACGGAUCCAAAUCCAAUAAUCUAAUAAAAAAAUACAUCAAUUCAUCUCUCCCUUUUCUGCGAAAGGGGGGCAAAUAGCACAAUUUCAUUCCCAAGGGGAUCCUUAAUUAUUAUUAUUCUUUUAUUAUUCUUUUAUUGUUCUUAUUUAUAUAUAUUUUUUUUUUUUUUGUUCCAAUUUUGUGUAAUCUCAAUUCAAAAUUUUAAUUUUAAACAAUCUAUCUCAUUCAAAUUGCGCAUUGAAGUUUUAAUAUAUUCUAUGCAUUUCAUUACCAAAGAAAGGGGGUAUUAAAAAAAUAAAGAUCAAAUAAAAAUAAGGAUCCCACUUCUAUUAGAGAGGGAAUGAAUAAUUUUGUUUUAAGGAUUUUUGCUGAAAAAAAAACAAAUCCUAAACAAAUGAAUUUGGUAGAAUAUUCGAUUUUUUUAUACUAUAUUGGGACUUGAUCACAUUUUUUUGUUUUCCAAUAAGAUUAGAUCAUUAAAAAAGGAGUUUAGAACUUAACGCCUCUUUACCCGUUUUGCUCCUAUUGUUUGUUUGGGUUUGGUUGUAACCAAUGUAAGUGUAAAGGUGGGUCUUCGUCAGAUGAUUGUACAAAGAAGGCGAAAAUUUUAUAGAAAAGAAAGAAUAUGAUAAGAAUAUGAUAAAUAAAAAUAAAGUAAAGUAAAGAAAUUCUCAAUUGAAUCAAGAAUCCAUUUUUUGAAUUCGGUAUGAAUAAACGAUCUUUCUAUGUUAUACUAUUCAAUUCUCGACGAUGAAUCGAUUUGAUAGCUCAGAUAUUGUUAUUCAUGAUAUUGAUCAGACUCGAUAUCAUCGAGAUGGAAAUCAUCCCAUUGAAUUUAGAGGCGAAAGAUUUAUUAUCUCUAUGGGAUUAAAUCCCGAGUUAUUGCGAAGUAAAGAAAAACGAAACGAUGAGAUUAUGGAAGUAAAUAUUCUUGCAUUUAUUGCGACUGCACUGUUCAUUCUAGUUCCUACUGCUUUUUUACUUAUAAUAUACGUAAAAACAGUUAGUCAAGGUGAUUAAUUUGAAUGAAACUUGACUUCUUAGUUCUUAUCAAUAUCAAUGAUUGAAGAAAAAAAUGAAAAGGAUUCCUGUUUUGCGUCUUAGAUGAAAGGAACGGACUAGAAUUAGCAGUAUUCUAUGAGAUCCGAUAGUAUGAUAGAAAGAAAUCUAUUUCUUUCUAUCAUACUAUCCUUUAUUUGUUAUUCUAGUGUAUAAAGUUGUACUGUAUAAAGAUAUAGGAUUAAUAUAGAUAUAGAUUAGUCUAUAAUAUAAUCUUAUAUUUAUAUAUCUAGAUAUUAAUUAUCUAAUCUAGAUAUUAAUUAUCUAUAUGUAAUGUACAUAAUGUCCCAAUUCUAUUUCUUCAUUAUUUGAUUUGUGUUGAUUCCAAAAGAGUUGAAAGGCAACUCUUACUCUUACUUUUACGAUUCUAAUUCCUAGAUUUCUUAUUAUUUUCAAUAUGAAUCCCGGCAUUUACCGAAAGAAUAAAAUCAAUCAAAAGGAAUAAAUCUGGACAAAUAUUAAUAAAAGAAAAUCAAGAAA